UUCGGCCCGCACCCUGCAUCAGGUUGCCCCUUCAAGCCGUCGCCGACGCACUUCCUAUUCGAAUUUCAAUGCGAUCCUGUCGUCACUCUGCGGCACGGC
rfam:Pseudomonas knackmussii B13 complete genome